UUCAGAGGUGCCGAUCCUGAGGUGAGUCAGAAAGGAACAUUUGAUGUUCCUGGUGUUUCAGAAUUGUGCAGGGAACUGUGAGCUUGGUCUGUGGCAGUAGAGUGUGGAGGGGCAGCUGGGUGGGCUGAAAGAAGAUCCAUUUCCAUGUUUACAACAGCAAUAGCAAAGGCAUUGUUGGUUAUUUCCUAAUUUUCCAUUGCAGAGCUUUAAAAGAAGUAAAAGCCCAGUUUUGGAGAGAGAACGUUGCUUGCUGAUAGUAGCCAGGGUGAACUCUCUAAUUCAGAACUAUUUGCAGUAUGGCUGAAUUAACCCAUUUUAAUUUAGUUGGAGAGACUUAGAAUCCCAUUGCUAUCAAAGCUGAUGAUUUGUGCUUGGUAGAGCUGGUUGUGGAAAUAGAGCUGAAGAGAAAUAAGGUUCUAAAUGAUAGGUAGCUGCCUGUCCCUAACUCCACCAUCUGUCCACAGAGCCCAGAAGCAAGAGCAGACUCUCCUGGGGCUCCCUCUGCUCCUGGAGAAGAGGCCAAAGAGGAGCAAAAUGAGCAAAAGGACCACGAGCCUCCAGCUGUGGUCACAGCCCAGCCUGACCAUCCCCAGACAGUCCUUCCAGAGAAAGAGCAGGAGCAGAUUGUUUUCUCAGGGAGGCCGUGCCAGACUGAGGGAGAGCUGUUCCCAGCCCAAGAGCAGGAAGAGCAGCUGGGGCAGCAGGUGGAAGAGCCACUGGAGAAUGGCCAGAACAUCAAGGCAGAGCCCCAAGCAGAGCUGCCCGAAGCUCAGAGGGCCAUCAUGGCAGUGAAGAGGAGGCACGAAGAAGACAGGAGAAACAUCCAAGAGGAGAU